UUUAACAGGAAAGUUACUAUCCAGAAAUUAACCCACAAAGGUGGGAAGAGUAUUUACCCGCUAAUCUCUUUAUUCCCUCGCCUGACAAAAUAUCUGCAUUCCUGGGCGGCCUCAAGAAAUGAACUACAGACAUCUAUUCCCUUUGUGAUACCUCCUUGGAAUCAAAGUGUGGAGUGUAACAAUGUGCCUCCACACACUCACACUAGUUGAUGCUUCAUCUUGGUGAAAUCAAGUUUUUGGAAUUACCUUUCCUAAGAUCAUUCUAUUCACAGAGAAGGAGCUUAAUGUAAGUGAAAUUUUGUAAAAACCAAAGGAAACUAUGGUGGAUGUAUUCUAGACAGAAGAAGGAUUAAACCAAGAUAAAAACAAUGUGAAUGAGGAAAGUGGGAGUAACAGGGAUUCCAAGAGAAAGAAGGAGAACUGGUAAUUGAUGUGGGGCCAAACAGCACAGUACAGCAGAAAGGAUCUAAAUUUGGGAAUUAUACUGAGAUUUUCCAUUUGUCAAAAAUGAGGAGUACUAAUCAGUAGUGCUAUGGAAACAAGACACUAACAGUUAUAGUCCGGAAGAAGAGAUGAUAACAUCUGUCCCUAAAAAGAGGCAGCACAGCAUGGAGAGAGAUACUUCUGCUUGGGUGAAGGAGAAAACAGUGAGUACAAGACUUUGCCUCAGAUCCCAACACUCAGUGUUGGGCAGCACCCAUGACCCCAGACUUCAGGCCAAUACCUACUGACUAAGCCUCUGGGUUGGUUCCAAUGCCAGGCCAGAUCCCACAACUCCAGACUCCAGGCUUGUUCAGCAUACUUGGUCUCUGGGCCCACAGCAACACCAGGCCAAACCCAAUGGCACCAGAGGACCCAGCCUCCAGACUGACCCCUUUGGAUACAUGUUCUAGGCUGAUCCAGCAUCAGGCCAGCCCCUGUGAUCCUUGGCUCCAGGCUCACCUCAAGUUCCAACUCAGCUCUGACAUAUGUCAACCCAUAUAGCCCCAGGCCUCAGGCCCAUGCCAGUGCCAGAUAAACACCCCUAGCCUCAGGCACCAGACUGGCACCUGUAGAUACAGGCUCGAGGCUUGCACAAUGCUAGGCUAGUCCUUGCAGUUCCACACUCUAGGCCAGCCCCUGUGACCCCAUGCUCCAACAGAACUAGGGUACAGGCUUUCUCUAGAAGACCCAGGAUCCAGGUUUGCCCCAGUAGACUUUUACUAGGAUAUCUCCCACGGACUCAGGCUCUAGGACUGCCUCCUGUGGAUCAGGUUCCAAGUCCACCUCCACAACCCUAGAACCAAGGCCAGACUUUGCAGGCCUAGCUUCCGAACCAACUACUGCACAACCAGCCUCUCUAAACCAAGGCUCUAGGCAUUAGGAUAGCACCUAUGAUGCCAGGCUCCACAGUAGCCCUUAUGGGUCCAUUUUCCAUGUCUGUCCCAGUACCAGGCUGCACCUAGGCUCCAGGCCAGUCUUCAUGGCCUCAGACUCCAGAGGAUCCAAAGUCCAGUACUACUCUGGCAUAUCUAGACUACAGGCCCGCCCCAGUAGACCCUGGUGUCAGGCCAACUACCAGAGAGAGACUGAAGCUCCAAUGCCACCCCCACAGGCCCAGGAUCCAAGCCAGGCCAACCCCCAUGGGCCCAGAACCCAGAUCUUCCUGAACAGACUCAGGCUCCAGGCCUACUUCAGCACCAGGUCAGCCUGUGAACUCAAGCUUCAGGCUUGACCCACUGGACCCAAGCACCAGGAUAAUUCUAGCACCUGACUGACCUCUAUAGACUCAAGCUCAAGGUCAGUCCCAGAGUCAAGUUAACUGCUGUGGAUUUAAGCUUUAGGAUGGCCCCAGGAGAUGAAGGCUCCAGGUCUACCCUCACAUACUCUUGCUCCAGAUAUAUCUCCACAAACCCAAUCAAAAUAUCCACUCCAGUGAGUCCAGGUUCCAAACUCAACCCAGCUGACCCAGAUAACAGGCCCACUCACCUGCUAAACCAAGCACCAGACCUGCCUAUCUGAGGACCCCAGCAACAAGCCAGCCCAUGAACCAUGCCAGACAGCCUGCUCAGAAUCUCUGGAUGGGCUGAUUGGUAAAGGGUUUUCGCAGACACAGUCAAUCUGCAGAGAUGGUAAUAACUCCGAACUUCUACAAUAAACAGACACCAAUACUAAGCCACAAAAAUUAAGACCAAUCGGGAAACAUAACACUACCAGAGAAACAAAAUAAAACACGAGUAACUGACCUUAAAGAAAUGGAUAUUUAUGAGCUCCCCAAUUUAAAAAGAAAUUCAAAAUAAAUGGUUUACAAAAGCUCAGUGAAAUUCAAGAAAAUACAAAGAAGCAAUUAAAUAAAAUCAGAAAAAUAAUAAACAACUAAAAUUAGAACUUAGAUACACUGAGUGGCGAUUCCUUAGGGAUCUAGAACUAGAAAUACCAUUUG
rnacentral:lncRNA from 1 species